AAAAGUGCAAAUCAAUCCCAGAACAACAGCAAAGGACCUUGUGAAGAUGCUGGAGGAAACAGGCAUGAGUACUCUCAAAAUGGCUGCCAGUCCAGUCAUUAUGCCAUCAUGGAUUUGAAUGGGGACAUCCGUUCUAUUCAUUCCAUUUCUAUGGUUCAAACAGCCUGGAAUAGACAACCACUCCAAUCCCCACCCCUCUUCCCCCAAACCCCCUAAAGAAACUCAUUCUGUAAAAAAAGGAACCUGGGCCAACAUCCAGAGAGUGCAUCUCAAAACAAAGCGACGUGCCAUUCUGGGGGUGUUUCAUCCCCCUGCUCGAAGCAGAGAGAAGUGGCUGUGUUCCCUGCAGUAACUCCCACUGAACUGCUCACUGAGUCAGAGCUCAUAGUAUGACAGGCAUGCCAGCUAGGUUUAUUUGAUCACUUGCAGGAUGGGGAGAGAAUGGCUGGCUUUGCCACACACAGAGCCCUCUGCAGCACGGAAGAGAAGAGGCAAGCUUUUCCUUCGCCUGUGGCCAAACACAUUAGGUUUUUAUGUUCCCGCACAUCUUGUCAACACCAUGAAAUCACUUCAGUUGAAAACAGUGCUCAGCAAUACAAAAGGGGUUAUGUUAGGCAAAACCUUGCUGAAAACUCAUCAUAACAUGUAUAUACAGUUGCUGUAAUGGCUUUGACUUACUGUGUCUCAAGAAUGGAUACAUGUAUUUCAUUAUACAAUCUAUUGACAAUGUUAUACAGCUGAAAUAAAAUGUCAUGUCAAGUCAACAGCAAUUUUGCCAUUGGAUGCAUUGGUAAGAUUGUAUCCUUAGAAGUAAUAAUACUACAAUAAACUAUACUACACAUCUAGAUUUGGUCUGAGGUUUUCAAAGCAUUCUCAUUCUGACACAAGGUUGGUUAUCCAAUACUUUGAGGCUGGAGCCUAAGGACAGUCCAUAGUUCUGCUCAACACCACAUGAGUUGGGGUAUACUGGACCUAGUACAGUUUUAAAAUAUUUAAACUGAUGUUCUGUUAGGUAUGAGGGAAUCCAAUGCAGCUCACAUACGCUUGCUGCUUUAUUAUUUAAGAGUGCAGUACUGACAUCUAGUGCUAAAAUGUGAAAGUAAUUCCCUUAGAGGACUGACAAUGCCGUUGUGUACUGAUAUUGCGUUGACAGAGUAUUAUGUGAAGGCAAAUAUACAUUUGGGCCCAAAAUAUACAAGACACAGAAAUGAAAUGAGCUUGUGGUUAGAGCGUUGGGUUAUUAACCGAAAGGUCGCUGGUUCGAAUACCCGACAAGGUUAAAAAUCUAUCGAUGUACACUUGCGCAAGACAUUUGCUCCAGGGUGCUGCACUACAUGGAGACAUGGAAUCACUGGUCACUUUAAUAAUGGAACACUAGUCACCUUAAUAAUGUUUACAUACUGCUUUACUCAUUUCAUAUGUAUAUACUGUAUUCUAUUCUACUGUAUUUUAGUCAAUGCCACUCCUACAUUGCUCGUCCUAAUAUUUAUAUAUUAACUCCAUUCUUUACUUUAGAUUUGUGGGUAUUGUUGUGAAUUGUUAUAUAUUACUGCACUGUUGGAGCUAGGAACACAAGCAUUUUGCUAUACCUGCAAUAAUAUCUACUAAAUAUUUGUAUGUGACCAAUAAAAUGAUAUUUGAUUAGACUUUUACUAUGGCUGACCCUGUAAAACAUUUCACGCAGGUUAGCGUUUUUCUUAAUGAAUCUUGUUCUGGAGGCAGCUCUGCAGAGAGGUCAAAUAAAAUCUGAUUUUAUACCUAACCCGAACCUUAAAUUUAGACCAAAAAGCACAUUUUGUUGUCAUACAUUUUUACAAUAUAGCCAAUUCUGAGCUUGCAGCUUGCCAAUCUAAGGGAAAAUCAAAAAAUACUGUAUCCAGGACAAGACUCGUGACAAAAACGGCAACCUGCACAUUUCACUGCACCUAUCUGGUGUAUGUGACAAUAAUAUAUAUUUGUUUUACAGCUUAUAUUUUGACACAUGAAUGAAAAUGCAAAGAGUAACUGAUACCAUAAACAGAAAUAAA